rnacentral:ncRNA from 1 species
AGCUGCUCGAAGCGGGUGCCAAUCGGGGCGAUAAACAGCGAGUUUUUGUUCAGGUCGACGUCGCCGCUGGCGCGCACCUCCCCGCCGUCCAGCGGGAUAUCGAGAUGUAAGCGCCCACUGACGUUGCCGCCAAUCUGCAGCUCGUCCAGCGCUGCGCCCAGCGAGGGUUUGAGCGGUGACUGAUUAAAGUAGUCGCGGAUCUGCGGCCCGCUGCCGCUGAUAUCGCCAUCAAUCAGCAGCUUUUCGCGGGUGUAAUCCGGGAUCACCGCCGAGAUAUUACGCCCCAGUGCCGCGCCAAGGUGGGUCUCUGCCGCCUUCAUCCACAGCCCGUUGUUCGCGAAGUCGAGGUCAAUGGCCAGAUUUUCCAGCGGCGGCCAGCCCGGUUCGAACUCGUAGGUCGCUUUACGCAGCGGCACC